GUGGGGAAUAUUGGACAAUGGGCGAAAGCCUGAUCCAGCCAUGCCGCGUGUGUGAAGAAGGUCUUCGGAUUGUAAAGCACUUUAAGUUGGGAGGAAGGGCAGUAAGUUAAUACCUUGCUGUUUUGACGUUACCGACAGAAUAAGCACCGGCUAACUUCGUGCCAGCAGCCGCGGUAAUACGAAGGGUGCAAGCGUUAAUCGGAAUUACUGGGCGUAAAGCGCGCGUAGGUGGUUUUGUAAGUUGGAGGUGAAAUCCCCGGGCUCAACCUGGGAACUGCCGUCAAAACUGCAUGACUAGAGUACGGUAGAGGGUAGUGGAAUUUCCUGUGUAGCGGUGAAAUGCGUAGAUAUAGGAAGGAACACCAGUGGCGAAGGCGACUACCUGGACUGAUACUGACACUGAGGUGCGAAAGCGUGGGGAGCAAACAGGAUUAGAUACCCGAGUAGUCC
rnacentral:rRNA from 1 species